AUUUCCCAAGGUCAGUGUUUAAUUAAAGCACAUGUGAGAACAUUGCGGGAACCCGUCCAGAAUCCAGGCACCCAGAGAGAAAGUAACAAAGGGCCAAAAUGUGAGUGCUGGUCACAUCUAUGGCUCAGUAAAUGAGGAUUCAGACUCCAGUGAGAUUUGUCAUCUUUACUGAGAAUCAUAACAUCAUUCCUCUAGUCCUCAUCCCUCAUCCUCUAAUCUGCUCACAGUGAGUACUCCAAUCCCAAUUUUGUGAUUUGGACUUUUAGGGCCCAAAUUAUGUCUACAGGACUAUGUACACCUAGAAAUUCCUUGCACGAAAUUUCUAGAAAACCAUGCAUGGAACCACCAAAUGUAUACUUUCUCUUCUGAGGUUACUUUGCCAGAAUUAGAGACAGUGAUAAACAGUAGAGACUGAGAGUACCUUCCUGCUUUAACCUGAAAGCAUAUUUUCCUAAUUUCUACCCCUCUUCCCUGGGGACAGGGAAGUGCAUAGCACUUGAAAGAAAGCAAAAUCCAUCACCUUGAGACUUUGUGCCCUAAAUUCCGGAAGAAGCUGCCAUCAAGUUAAACAGAAGGCCUUUGUUCAUUUUUGGUAUCACAGGAACUAUCAUUUCAGAGCUGAACAUAGUGGACUGGAAGCAUGCCAGAGAUAAAAUUGGAAAAGCAAAUGUAACAGGUUCCUUUGGGGUCCAGAAUCAUGCAUCAUAUGAGAUCUGAGGGGUGGCUCUGAUGAAUGAGUAAAAAUGAAUACUGCUGAUCAUCUGACUUCCAGUAUGGAUGAGUUCCACGGUUCAGUGACCAAAGAACUAAAGUCAAGUGAUGAACCACACGCCAAUUAGAAGUAACAUCUCCAGAAGAGACUACACUCUGCUCACAUUUCUGACACCAGAGGAAAACACCAAACAGCAUCUGGAUCCCUGGUGCACAGAAGCUCCCGGAAAGGGCGGCACAGAACGUUUUGGUUGCUGACCCACGAAGAGCUCAUAAACAUCACCGCACGAGCAAACUUAAGCCUCGGGACCACAGAACUCACCACAAACUUCAGAAGACUUGAACAGCACUAGACAUGUGUCAAAGAUGAAGGGCAGAAGAAAAAGCAAGGUGCUCAUUCAAAGCCUGGCUUCAAGAAUUACACAAGAUCUGAAUUUGUGACCCUGAUCAAGAAGUAAGACAAUGGUCAGGUCAGGAGGUGUUGCAUACAGAGAUGACCCUUACGGGGAGGUCCAUAAUAAGGUGAGGAGAACCAGAGGGCUUUUCUAUCUUAAGUCCUGUGAAAUGACAGUCUGUAUGGAGGAAGAUAAAAGGUCUGAUGCAGGAAGGCUGAUCAUACCAACUUGACUAGUAAAAUUCUAUUCUUUCACUGUUGUAAUCUCAUCAAGAAAUUUGCAUGCCCAACUUUCAACCCAAACUUACACCCAUGACCAGUGAAGCUAAAGAAAUUAAGAAGAUUUCACAUUCUGGUGCUGUAAAGAAGAAAGUAAGAGAAGAAAAGUGAGGGGCUUGAAGAAAAGGUGGAGGAAAGUGAGACUAGAUUGUUCACUGAAGAAGAAAUGGAAGAAAGGGGGUGUGGCAAUUUGGGAAUGAAGAGUACAUGGAUCGCUGUUGGGGAGUCAGGUCCUAACUCCUACUCUUCACAUCUUCAAAGAGAAACACACUGUGUGAUAACUACUGUGUCUGCCCACUAACCUCAGCUCCUAACAUAUGUCAGAUUCUGACAUUAGUGGAAGCCUACCAGGAGGGAGACGCCUAUUCAGAGCCAAAGGAAGCACUUCCUCUUAGCAGUGGGAUCCUAGGCUCAGAGAGCAGCCAAAGACAAGACAGAGCUUGAGGCCUGUCAUGUCUGGUCAAGCAUCUUCAAAGCCCAGGCAGGGAAGGGAAGCAACUGGGGUUCCAGGCCAGGGACUGAGCAGAUACCCUGGGAGAAGUAAGUCCAUCUGCUUUGUAUUGUACAAUUUCACUUCGUCUGGCCCUGCACUGCCACAGUCAGUGGUCAGGUACUUUUGGCUUUCUUCUCACAAAUGUUUUAUUAACAUUGAAGUGAAGACUUAUGGCUAUGAUCCUAAAAGAAGUUUAUUUUUUUCUUUAUUAACUUGAUUAUCUCUUAUUUACAUUUCGAUUGUUAUUCCCUUUCCGGGUUUCUCAGCCAUUCGGCAUUCCUCAGCUAUGAAUUCUUUGUUGAGCUCUGAACCACAUUUUUUAAUUGGGUUAUUUGUCUCCCUGUGGACUACCUUCUUGAAUUCUUUUUAUAUUUUGUAUAUAAGCCCUCUAUCUCUUUUAGGAUUUUUAAAGAUUUUUUUCCCCAAUCUGUUGUUUGCUGUAUUGUCCUAACCAACGUGUCCUAUGCCUUACAGAAGCUUUGCAGUUUUAUGAGAUCCCAUUUGUCGAUUCUUGAUCUUAGGGCACAAGCCAUUGGUGUUUUGUUCAGGAAAUUUUCUCAAGUGCCCAUGUGUUCGAGAUUCUUCCCCACUUUUUCUUCUAUUACUUUGAGUGUACUGGUUUGAUGUGAAGGUCCUUCAUCCAUUUGGACUUAAACUUUGUACAGGGUGAUAAGCAUGGAUUGAUCUGCAUUCUUCUACAUGUUGACCUCCAGUUGAACCAGCACCAUUUGCUUAAAAUGCUAUCUUUUUUUGCAUUGGCUGGUUUUGGCUCCUUUGUCAAAAAUCAAGUGACCAUAAGUGUGUGGUUCAUUUCUGGGUCUUCAAUUCUAUUCCACUUGUCUAUCUGUCUGUCUCUGUACACACAUAUAGAAGGUGAGGGGGAGGGGCUAGAGGGAGGGCCCGAAAACCGGAAAGGGAUUAACACUGGAAAUGUAAAUAAGAAAUACUCAAGUUAAUAAUAAAAAAAGACAUAUUAAAGGUUAAAAAAACGUGGGGUACAGAGCUAAACAAAGAAUGUACAGCUGAGGAAUAUCAAAUGGUUGAGAAGCACCUAAAGAAAUGUUCAACAUCUUUAGUCAUCAGGGAAAUGCAAAUCAAAACAACUCACACCAGUCAGAAUGGUUAAGAUGAGAAAUUCAGGAGAUAGUAGAUGCUGGCAAGGAUGUGGAGAAAGAGGAACAAUCCUACAUUGUUGGUGGGAUUCCAAACUGAUGCACCAUUCUGGAAAUCAGUCUGGUGGUUCCUUAGAUAAUUGGACCUUGCACUUCCUGCGGACCCAGCUAUACCUCUACUGGGCAUAUACCCAAAAGAUGCUCCAACAUCCAACAAAGACACAUGCUCCACUAUGUUCAUAGCAGCCAUAUUUAUAAUAGCCAGAUGCUAGAAAGAACACAGAUGCCCUUCAACAGAGGAAUGGAUGCAGAAAUAUGGUACAUCUACACAAUGGAGCAUGAUUCAGCUAUCUAAAAGAAUGACUGCAUGAAAUUCAUAGGCAAAUGAAUGGAACUAGAAAAAAAUCAUUCUGAGUCAGGUAACCCAAUCACAGAAAAACACACACAGUAUGCCCUCAUUGAUAAGUGGAUAUUAGCCCAAAUUUUCAAAUUACCCAAGAUGCACAGACCAAAUGAAACUCAAGAAAGAUGACCAAAAUGUGGAUGCUUUACUCCUUCUUUAAAAAGCGAACAAAAAUACCCAUAAGAGGAGAUAAGGAGGCAAAGUUUAAAACAGAGACUUAAGGAACAGCCAUUCUGAGCCUGCCCCACAUGUGGCUCAUACAUAUACAGCACCCAAAACUAGAUAAGAUGAAUGAAACUGAGGCAUGCAGGUUGACAGAAACCAGAUAUAGAUCUCUCUUGGGAGACACAGCCAGAAUAUAUCAAAUACAGAGGCGAAUGCCAGAAGCAAAGCAGUGAACUGAGAAUAGGGUCCCUGUUUGAGGAGUUAGAGAAAGGACUGAAAGAGCUGAAGGGGCUUGCAACCCCAUAAGAGCAACAAUGCCAACCAACCAGAGCUUCCAGGAAAUAAACGAUUAACCAAAGAGUAUAAAUAGACUGACCGUGGGCUCCAAAUUCAUAAGUAGCAAUAAAUAUACUUGUAGGGGCACCAGUAGAAGGGGAAGCCCUUGGUCCUGCCAAGACUGCACCCCCAGUGAACAGGAUUAUUAUUCCACAGUGAGGUGGAAUGAGGGUGGACAUGGAGAGGAACACCCAUAUAGAAGGGAAGGCAUGAGGUUAGGGAGCUGAUGGACUGGAAACCUGGAACGGUAAUAACAUUUGAAAUGUAAAUAAGAAAUACCCAAUUUAAAAUAAAAAUGGGAAAUUUUUUUUAAAAGUUAUCAAGGAAAUCACCCAUUUCAUUCACUAUCACAAUUUUGUGGAGCACAGUCUUUUGACUUAAAAUUUAAUUCUUUGAAUUUCCUGACUAUUCAUUCUUAUGAACCCUUUUUUAUUUCUUAUUUUCUUAUUUUGAAUAUGGUCUGUUUUGCUUUUUGUGAGUAUGGCUAAGACUUUUUCUAUCUUGUUGAGUUUUCUCAAAAAAAUGUCUGUUCGUUUCAUUGAUUCUUUGAAUUGUUCUUUGUUUCUAAUCUAUUCAUUUCAGCCCUGAGUUUGAUUAUUUCCAGCCAGCAAGUCCUCUUGUGUGUGUUUGCUUGUGUUUGCUCUAGAGAUUCCAGGUAUGCGUUAAGUUGCAACUAUGAGAUCUCUCCAGUUUCUUUAGAAAGGCAUUUAAUAUUAUGAAUUUUCCUUUUAGCACUGCUUUCAUUGUAUUGCAUAAGUUUGGUUAUGUUGUACCUUCAUUUUCAAUGAAUUCUACAAAGUCUUUAAUUUCUUCUUUGACUUAAUAAUCAUUGAGCAGAGUUAUUCAGUUUCUGUGAAACUGUAGGAUAUCUGUUGUUUCUAUUGUUGAUACUCAACUUUAAUCCAUGUUGAUCUGAUAAGAUAUAAGGGGUUAUUUUAAUACUCUUGUAUCUUUUGAGGCUUUCUUUGUAAAGGAGUAUAUUGUCAAUUUUGGAGAAGCUUCUCUGAAAUACUGAGAAAAUGGUAUAUUCAUUUGUGUUUGGUGAAAUAUUUCUGUAGGUAUCUAUUAGGUCCAUUUGGUUCAAGUCUGUCAGAUUUACUAUUUCUUUGUUUAUUUUCUAUUUUAAUGGUUUGUACAUUGGUAGGAGUCAGGGGUUUAAAUAUCACUGUGGUUCAAUGUGUGAUUUAAACUUUAGCAACGUUUAUUUUAUGAAUGAAGGUACUCUUGCAUUUUGGGCAUAGAUGUUCAGAAUUGAGAUGUCAUUUUGAUGGAUUUUUUCUUUGGUAUCUUCUUUGAUGAAUAUGAGCUAUCCUUUCCAACCCUUUUGAUUACUUUUGGUUCAAAGUCUAUUUUAUUAAAUAUUAGAAUGACUAAUCCAUUUUGUUUCUUGAAUUCAUUUGCUUGGAAAACCUUUUUCUAGCCCUCUAAUGUGAGGUAAUAUCUAUGUUGCUAAGGUUUGUUUCUAACAUGUAGCUGAUCAUUGAUUUAUGCAUGCACUCUGUUAGUCUGUGUCUUUUUAUUAGGGAAUUAAAACUGUUGAUGUUGAGAGAUAUUAAUGGCCCAUGAUAUUUAAUUGUUGUUAUUUUGAUGUUGGUCAUGGUUGUGUGUGUGUGUCUGUGUGUGUGUGUGACUUUCUUUUGAGUUUUGGUGGUGUGAAGUAACUCUGGACAUAGGAAUUGAGGAGUAAUCUGGGACAGGAUAAUUCUGGUUUCAGCCUAUGCCUGGAGCUGACGCUGUCUCACAACUCACUCUAUGCAGAUCCAUUGGGGGAGAGAACAAGAGUCUCAGAAGUGUGGACAAUCCUGAGAGCACAUGGAAGUCCACUACUUAUGCUCACAUUCCUGGGCCAAGAGGAAUCUGCCUGGAGCCCUCUGGACAGAGGAACCUAGGAGCAGACUGGGAAAGUAUCCUUCUGCUUUCCACUUGUACCCAAAGCUUACUCAGUCCACAGCUAUCUGUAUACAGAUUCCACUGGGAGAAGGCCGGUAUACAGGAGUACAGACACACAGGCUUAUAGGAGGGUCAAGCUACUGUCAGAGACAGCAACACCAGCUAACACCAGAGAUAAUCAGAUGGUGAGGGGCAAGCAUAGGAUCCUAAGCAACAGAAACCAGGACUAAUAUGCACAGGAGGAGGAGAAGGCUGGAAAUGAUCAAAUGCAGAGCUGAAAUAAACCCAGUAGAAAUAAAAUGAACUACACAAAGAAUCAACAAAACCAGGAGCUGCUUCUUUGAGAAAAUCAACAAGAUAGAUAAACCUUAGCCAGAAUAUGAAGAGGGCACAAAGAGUGUAUCCAAAUUAUCAAAAUAAGAAAAGAAAAGGGAGCUAUAACAACAGAAUCUGAAGAAAUUAAAAAAUUCAGGAGAUCCUCUACAAAAGGUUUAAUAAAUAAAACUGUAAAAUGUAGACGAAAUGGACAAUUUUUGAGACAGAUAACAGGUAUCAAAGAUAUAUCAGGGUUACAUAGACAAUCUAAACAUUCCAAUAUAUUUUAAAGAAAUGGAAGCAGUUAUUUAAAAUCUCACAAACAAAACAACAACAACAAAACAAAACAAAACAAAACAAAAAUAACCCAGGACCAGAUGGGUUCAGUGAAAAAUUCUAUCAGACCUUCGUAGAAGACAUAGUAGUAAUACUGCCCAAAGUAUUCCACAAAAUAGAAACAGCAGGAACACUAUCCAAUUCUUUCUAUGAAACCUCAAUUACACUUAUACCUAAACCACAAAAAGACCCAGCAAAAAAGAAAACUUCAAACCAAUUUCCCUUAUGAAUAUUGUCAAAAAAUUCUCUAUAAACUUGUUGCAAAGCAAAUCCAAGAACACAUCAAAGCAAUCAUCCAUCAUAAUCAAGUAGUCAUAAUCCCAGGGAUGCAGUGAUGGUUAAAUGAAUGGAAAUCCAUCAAUGUAAUCUAGUAUGGAAACAAACUCAAAUUAAAAAAAACCACAUGAUUGUCUCACUAGAUACUGAGAAAGCAUUGACAAAAUUCAACACCCCUCAUGUUAAAGUCUUGGAAAGGUCAGGAAGUCAGUGCCCAUACUUAAAAAUAGUAAAGGCCAUAUACAGCAAAACAGCAGCUAACAUCAAACUGAAUGCAGAGAAACUUGAAGCAAUUUCACUAAAAUCAGUGACUAGACAAGGCUGCCCACUCUCUCUCUACUUAUUGAAUAUAGUACUUGAAUUCCUAGCCAGAGCAAUCAGACAAUGAAAGGAGGUCAAAGGGAUACAAAUUGAAAGUAGGAAGUCAAAAUACUACUAUUUGCAUAUGAUAUGAUAGUAUAGUUACCUGACCCCUAAAGUACCACCAGAGAACUCCUACCCUGAAAAACUGCUUCAGCAAAGUGGCUGGAUAUAAAAUUAACUCAAGCAAAUCAGUAGCUUUCCUUUACUCAAAGGAUAAACAGGCCAAAAAAGAAAUUAAGGAAAUGACACCCUUUACAAUAAUCACAAAUAAUGUAAAAUACCUCAGUGUGACUCUAACCAAGCAAGUGAAAGAUGUGUAUGGCAAGAACUUGAAGUUUCUUUUUUUCUGAAAAAAACUGAAGGAGAUUUCAGAAGAUAGAAAUAUCUCCAAUGCUCAUGGAUUAACAGGAUUUAUAUAGUAAAAAUGGCCAAAAUAAUCUACAGAUUGAAUGAAAUCCCUAUCAAUAUUUCAACAAAAUUCUUCAUAGAGUUAGAAAGAGCAAUUUGCCAAUUCAUACGGCAUAACAAAAAACCCAGCAAAGUUAAAACUAUUCUCAAAAAUAAACAAAAUUCUGGAGAAAUCACCAUCCCUAACGUCAAGCUGUAUUACAGAGCAAUCAUGAUAAAAACUGUUUGGUAGUGGUACAGAGACAGGCAGGUAGGUCAAUGGCAUAGAAUUAAAGACCCAGAAAUUAUCCACACAUCUGUGGUCACUUGCUCUUUGACAAAGGAGCUAAAACCAUGCCGUGGAAAAAAGAUAGCGUUUUCAACAAAUGAUGCUGGUUCAACUGGAGUUCAGCACCUAGAAGAAUGCAAAUCAAUCCAUUCUUUUUGCACUGUACAAAACUCACAUCCAAGUGGAUAAAGGACCUCACAUAAAAUGAAAUACAAUCAAACUAAUAGAUGAAAAUGUGGGUAAAAGCCAUGUGAAUAUAAGGGCACUGGGGAAAAUUUCCUGGUCAAUAAUCAACAAAUGGGUCCUCCUAAAACUGCAAAGCUCUGUAAAACGAAGGAUAUUGUCAGUAGAACAUAAUGGCCAUCUUCAGAUUGGGAAAAGAUCGUUACCAAUCCUACAUCUGAUAUAGGGCUGUUGUCCAAUAUAUACAAAGAACUCAAAAAUCUAGACUCAAGGGAGCCAAAUAACCCUAUUAAAAAUGGGUGCAGAUCUAAACAAAAAAUUCUUAGCCAAGGAAAAUCAAAUGGCUAAGAAGUACCUAAAGAAAUGUUCACCAUCCUUAGUCAUCAGGGAAAUACAAAUCAAAACAACUCAGAUUCUCUCACACAACAAUCAGAAUGGCUAAGAUGUAAAUCUCAGGUGACAACAGAUGCUGGUGAGGAUGUGGAGAAAGAGGAACACUCCUCCAUCGUUGGUGGGAUUGCAAGAUGGUACAAACACUGUUGGCUACUCAGAAAAUUGGACAUAGCACUACCUGAGGACUCAGCUAUACCACUCCUGAGUAUAGUGCUCCAACAUAGUAAAUGAGUCGUCAUAGAAAGAAUUGGGUAGUGUUACUUCUGUUUCUAUUUUAUGGGAUAGUUUGAGAUUUAUUGGUACUAAGUCUUCUUUGAAUGUCUGAUAGAAUUCUGCACUAAAACCAUUAUGUUCUAUGCUUUUUCUUUGGGGGGGGGGCGCGUUGGAUACUUCUUAUGACUUCUUCUUUUUCUUUAGGAGUUAAGGGACUGUUCAGAUUGUUUUAAUGUUCCUGAUUUAACUUUAGUAAUUGGUAUCUCUAGAAAAUCUUCCUUUUCAUCUAGAUUUUUCUGUUUUUUGAGUAUAGUUUUUUUGUCAUAGGUUUUGAUGAUUUUUUAAAUUUCUUCAGUUUCUUUUGUUAAUUCUCCCUUUUCCUUUCUGAAUUUGCUAAUCUGGAUAAUGCCUCUGUGCUCUCUGGUUAGUCUGGAUAAGUGUUUAUCUAUCUUGUUGAUUUUCUCUGAAAAGUAGCUUAGUUUUGUUGAAUAAUUGUAUAGCUCUCUUUGUCUCUUCUUGGUUUAUUACUGCUCUGAAUUUCAUUAUUUCCUGCCAUUUAUUCUUCUUGUUUAUAUUUUAUCCUUUUUAUUCUUCAGCUUUUAGAUAUAUGGUUUAAACUGCUAGAGUAGGCUGACUCCAAUUACUUUAUGAAGGCACUCAAGGCUAUGAGAUAUCCUCUUGGCACUGUAUUUUUGUGUCCCAUAAUUGUGGGUAUGCUGUGCCUUUGUUUUUGUUAAGUUCUAAAAAGUCUUUUAUUUUUUUCUUUACUUCUUUCCUGACCAAGUUAUUAUUGAGUAAUGAGUCAUUCAGUUUCCAUGAAUAUGUGGGAUUUUUGUUCUUUUAGUCAUUAUUAAAGACCAGCCUUAUCCCAUGGUGAUCUAAUAGGAUACAUGGGAUAAUUUAAAUCUCUUUCUAUCUGUGGAGUCCUAUUUUGUGACCAAUUAUAUGGUCAAUUUUUGAGAAGGUAUUUUGAGAUGCUGAGAAGACUUAUUUCUUUAUUUUAGGAUCAAAAUUUCUGCAGAUAUCUGUUAAAUCCAUUUGCUUAAAAACUUCUCUUAGUUUCACUGAUUCUCAAUUUAGUAUCUCUUUCCAUGAUCUAUUGGUAAGAGUGGGUGUUGAAGUCUCCUACUAUGAGACAUACUUCAAUGUGUUCUUUGGGAUUUGGUAUCAUUUCUUUUACAAAUGUUGUUUUUCUUGCAUUUUUGAGAUGGAUGUGCAUAAUUGAGAGUUCAACUUUGUGGAUUUUUUCUUUGAUCAGUAUGUACUGUCCUUCCUUAUUUUUUACUACCUUUUGCUUGAAAAUCUAUUUUAUUGAAUAUUAGAAUGGCUACAUGACCUGGUUCUUCGGAUCAUUAACUUGGACAUUUUUUUACCAGGCUUUUACUUUGAGGUCAUUUCUGUCUUUGUCACUAAGGUGUUUUUCCUAUACAUAGUAUUAUGCUGGGUCCUAUUUUUGUAUCUAUUAUGCUAUUCUAUGUCUUUUUAUUCUGGAAUACAGUCCAGUGAUGUUGAGAGACAUUAAAGACCAUUGAUUGUACUGUUAUUUUUGUUGUUAGAUGUGGAAUUAUGUUUGUGUGCUUCUCUUCUUUUGGGUUUGUUGUAAGAAGAUUUUUUUAUUUUGUCUUGGGUGUAUGGGGGUGGUAUUCCUCUUCUAUUAUCCUCACUGGGGCUGGUGUAUUGGAAAGAUAUUACUUAAAACUUGUUUUGACAUGGAAUUUUUUUUUUGGUUUCUUCAUCUAUAGUUAAUUUUAAGUUUUUCUGGGUACUGUUGCUUAGGCUGGCAUUAGUGUUCGCUGAUGGUCUGUAUGACAUCUAUCCAAGAGCCUCUGACAUUUAGAGUCUCUGUUGAGAAGCUAUUUUGAUAGGUUUGCCUUUAUAUGUUACUUGACCUUUUUCCCUUACAGCUUUUAAUAUUCUUUCUUUGUUCUGUGCAUUUGGUGUUUUCAUUAUUAUGUGACUGGAGGAAUUUCUUUUCUGGUCCAAUCUCUUUGAAAUUUUGUAGGAUUGUUGUAGGUUUAUGGACAUCCCUUUUUUUAAUAUUGGGAAGUUUUCUGUAACUUAAUUGAAGUUGUUUUCUGUCCUUUUGAAUGGAAAAUCUUUACUUUCUUCUAUUCCUCUUAUUCUGAAGUUUGGUCGUUUCAUUUUGUCCUGAAUUUCCUGGAUGUUUUGGGUUAGGAACUAUUUAAACUGUGUAUUUUCUUUGAUUGUUGUCUUAAUGUAUUCUAUGUUAUCUUCUACACCUGAGAUUCUCUUUUCUAUCUCUUAUAUUCUCUUGGUUAUGCCCUCAUCUAUGACUCCUCAUCUCUUUCCUAGUAUAUCUAUCUCCUGGGUUGUCUUUCUUUGUGAUUUUUUUAUCAUUUCUAUUUCCAUUUUUAGAUCCUGGACAGUUUUGUUCAAUUCCUUUACCUGACUGAUAACUUUUCUUUUAAUUUUUUAAGGGAUUUAUGUGCACCUUCUAAGGGCUUCUACUUGUUUACCUUUGUUCUUGUAUAUGUCGUUAAGGGAGUUAUUUAUGUCCUCCUCAAGUCCCCCUAUAAUCUUCAUAAAAUGGGAUUCAGAUCAAAGUCCUGCUUUUCAUGCAUGUUGGGUAUCCAUCCAUGUUAAGAGAGUCAGGUUCUAAUGUUUCCAAAUGGUGCUGGUUUCAGUUGCUUAUUUUCUUUGAUUUGCCUCUAACCAUCAGGUUAUCUCUGGUGCUAAUGGGCCUUGUUGUCUCUGACUGGAGCUUGUCCCUUCUGUAAGCCUGGUUAAGGUGAGCCUCCUUGGGUCAGUUUGUCUUUUGGUGUGGGAGGCAUGUUUGAAGAGUCUUCUCUGGGAGUCUGGAGGUGUCAGAACUCCUGCUGGGGGGUGUCAAGCUAUCUCUCAAUAUGGGCAGAGUGGGCUGUGCUAAGGUCAACUCUGCUCCUUAGUGAACCAAAAGAAGAAAGUCUGUUUCUCUGGUAGGGUGGGAGGUUCUGUUUCUCUGGGACAGGGAUCACAGUGAUUUUGAGGGUGUCAGAACUCCUUUGCCUGAAGUGUCUUUGGAUGUGAGUGAGGUGUGGAGGGCUGGAUAUUUGUCUUACUACCUGGAGUUUCCUGUACUUUUUUCCUCCAUAAAGUUUAGUUUAGAACACUGCAGUCCAAGCUGAUUCUUUUACAUAAAGGAAGGGGCUGAAUAUAGAAAAAAAAAACACUGAGGAUUCUGUGCCUCUGAUUUGAUACUUAUGCUAUGUUUUGUUUAUUAUGCUGCAGUGUGGAGCUAAGCUGCAGCUGGCAGCAUGUGCACUGAUGCCGCAUGGCCCUCAGUGCAAGCAGGCAGAAGAGUGGGGUCUAGCAGUCCCAUGUCCUGUUUAAAUGUUGGCAUAUGGGAGAGUGAUCACAGGAAGGCUAGCUCUAGGUUGAGAUGACCAAGGCAGACUGCUGUGCCUGUGAGAAGGUAUUGGAAAUGUUGCUGCAAGUUGUCAGCUGUUCAUCCUUAGCUCUGAAGGCAACUUCUCAGGAAGCCAUGCCCCAAUGUCUUAGUAUUUCUCUUUGGUUCAGCUAAUCCAUGACUGUAUUUUGCCAUGGCUUCUGCCUUAAAUCCCAGCUCUGGGCUGGGGUCCACCAUCCAGUCUCUGUGAUUUUCUUUGUGCAGCAUUGAAUAAAGCUAGCAGGCUGUGUUUAUAAAUAUGUAAUAAUAAAGAAUAUGUCAUAACAUUAAGAAAAAUUGAGGUCAUGUAAUAAUUUGUAGGAGCAUAAGAAUUUAAUGCAAAUUAAAUAAAUGUGUAAAGUUUUUUAAAAUAAUAAACGUAAAAAGUUAGUCAUGUACACAUCAAGCCAUCAUAUUUUCAUUUCCUGCUUAUGCGAAUCUUCAACCUUUCAACUUUGUUAAAAACUAGGUCACCCAAGGUGGAUUCUUCAUUCUUAUCCAUUAUUUAAGCCCUAUAACUAAAAAAAGUCAUUUAGAAAUUGUGAGGGUAAAAAUAUAAGUGACACCCAUAAAUUACUUUUUAUUAUUAAAGCUUUUCUGGUUAUCGUAAAGUUAAUAGGCCUGUUUUUAACAUGUGUUAUUCUUGAUUAAGUCUAAAAGUUUUUAAAAAAAAACCUAAAUCCAAACCACUUCCCAUUUCUUAGAUGUCUAAAACAAUAGAAUGAGCACAGAAAAGAAUGACAGUGUCAAAUACUGGCAUAGACAUGCAGCAGAUACUUUGAGAAUGCCCUGCUAUGCAGAGAUCCUGGCAGUGUCCUGUGAAACUAACCACUUACUUAUAAUUGGGCCUUAUAGUGGUUUAUAUGAGAAUGGACCUUAUGUGCCUAAUUAUUUGAAGGAUUUGGUCCACAGUUACUAUAAGUCUUUGGGAAAGACCUUGGAGAUAUGGCUUAUUAAAAUAAGUGUAGCACAGCUGGUGGAGAAAUGUUAUUAGGCAUGGGUUUCAGGUUUCAGAAUCACUGGGCCAGGUCCAGUAUCACUUACUUUCUGCACAUAUCUUGUAGAUCAUAUGUAAACAGUCAGCCUCUGGCCUGAGGACCUUGCCUGCCUGCCUGAUGCCAUUCUCUCCACCACAAUUAUCAUGGACUAGCUACCUUUGAAACUGCAAACAAACCCCCAAUUCAAUAUUUACAACUAUCUAGUCACAACAAUAAAACAGGUUCAGAAUUAAUUCAGGGAUAGCUAUGCCAAGUAAGUGUUUUCUGCAGAUGGCCCACCAUUUUGUAUGGCUUUAUUAUGAGCAGCAGGGUCCUCAGAGACUUUAUCCCAAGAGUGGUUCUAGCGACUGAUAUGAUUUUCCUGCUAUUAUUAUAUAGCCUAAUGAUUCCUGGGCAUCAGCCCACCACAUUGGGGAAAAUUCCUGCAGAUUAACAGGGAAAUAUACUUUCAUGUAGUAAUGCUAUUUAGAUGAAUUGACGAUUUUCUAAUUUUUGAUAAUGAUUUUCUAGAACUCCUAAAUUGAUACACAUAACCUCAAGCCCUCUAUAAAAUAAAAGCUGCAAAUAGAACUUUGUUAUCCUUCAAGUGUCAUUGGGCAAUAGCAUUUGAAAAAGAAACAAUAUUGAAACAUAUUUACAAUCAAGGAAAUCAUUCAUACUAGGUUAGGAAUGUUGUCACUAUCUGGUAACUAAACAUCAUAGACCAGGAAUGAGCAAUUUAUUGGAAGUACAAGGACAGAAAAUAAAUGACGAACUAGUUUAUCUGUAUAAGACUUCAAAAUAAUAAGAUUUAAAAUAGAUGAUUUGUCUCCUGACAAAACUGUACUAACUUCUGAGGUAAAAAUUAUUGCUUUAAACAUAUACUGAAUUUAUGGACCUAGAAAUAGAUAACAAAUAGUUAAUCAGGUACUAAUCUUAAUGGAAAAGGAUGUAAACAGUUUUGCUGUCACUUCUUAAGCAUUAUUGAUAUAUGACAUGAACUUAUGGAAUGCAAAAAUGGUUACAAAAACAAUGUUAUCAAUUAUCAUGAGAAGGUAUAAAAGUUGAGAACAAAAAUAAAGUGGCAGUAUAGUAAUUUUUUGCUUCAUUCAGUAUCUGUGUGUCUAUGCGAACAUGACUUUCUCUUCUCUACUCUUCCUUCUCUUCUCUUCUCUUCUCUUCUCUUCUUUCCUUCUCUCUUCUCUUCUCUUCUCUUGUCUUCUCUUCUCCUCUCCUCUCCUCUCCUCUCCUUUCCUUUCCUCUCCUCUAUUUAUCAUCUCUUCCCUGUGACUCAUGAAGAAUUAGGGAACUCUGAUCCUCUUCUUUGGCCAGAAAGAGAUCCUGAGUCAAAGAAAAAAGGCCCUGUUCCUAUGGGCAGGAGAUAAUUUCCAGAAGCCAUCAGUUUCAGCUGGUGAAUGUCUAGAUAGUUAAAUCACCAAAGCCAUCAGCUUUAACCAUGGUACCAACACCAUUCCCCCCUUAAACUUCACAGGGAACAUCAAUUUCAGGACAAGAUUCCAGCAUAACCAUAACAAAAACAACCAUACAGUGAUCUGUUUCCAAAGAACCCAGAUGUCUUUCAAUGGAGGAAUGUAUGCAGAAAUUGUGGUACAACUACACGAAGGAGUACUACUCACCUAUUAAAAACAUGACUUCAUGAAAUUCAUAGGCAAAUGAAUAGAAUUAGAAAAUAUCCUGAGUGAGGUAACCCAACAUACACCUGGGAUACAUUCACUUAUAUAUGGGUAUUAGCACAAACGUUUGGAUUACCCAAGAUACAAUCCACUGACAACAUGAAAUUCAAGAAGAAGAAUGAACAAAGUGCAGAUGCUUUAGUACUUUUUAUUUGGGGGAACAAAAAUAUUCAUAGGAGGAGAUACAGAGGAAAAGUUUGGAGUAGCAACUGAUAGAAAGACCAUCCAGAGAUGCCAUAACUGAGGAGUCAUCCCAAAAACUUACAGUCACCAAACCCAGAUAAUGUUGUUCAUGCCAAGAAGUUCGUGCUAACAGGAACCUGAUAUAGCUGUCUCAUGAGGGGCUCUACCAGAGCAUGUCAAAUACAUAGGCGAAAGCGCACAGCAAACCAUUUAACUGAGAACAGGGUCCCCAUUGGAUGAGUUAGAGAAAAGAUUGAAGUAACUGAAGGGGUUUGCAACUCAACAAGAACAAUAACAACCAACCAGAGUUCCUAGGGACUAAACCACUAUCCAAAGAGUACAAUGGAUAGAUGAAGCGCCCACCUCGACCAGCAAGGAAGACGCAACACCGUUGUAUUCUUCUCAACAGCCUUUAUUGCAGGAACACCUCUUUCUUGAUACGGGGGACCCCAGGAAACAAAGGCACUUGCCUUAAAUACAAGACAGGCUGUGGCUGUAAACUUGUCCUCUGGUGAUUGGUGGAGUAUGAAAUACCUUAUUAGCAUGAAUAUCACUCCAGUCUGAUAACUGCCAGAGAAAUGCUAACACAUGCGCAUUGAAGGUGUUUAUCACCAACGACCACCGGAUGUCGGAGCCAUCUUUAGCCGCUUCCUACAGAUAGACCCAUGGCUCCAGCUGCAUAAGUAGCAGAAAUGCCUUUUGGGGCACCAAAGCAAUGCAAAGCCCUUGUUCCUGCCAAGGCUAUACACACACCCCACCCAGUGUAGGAGAAUGUCAGGGCAGGAAGGUGGGUAGUGGUAGGUGGUUGGGUUGGGGAUUAAAUUUGUAAUGUAAAUAAAAAUAUCCAAAACAGCAAUUAGAAACAUUGAAUCUGUAGAUUGCCUGUGUUAUUUCUGCCAAUCAAUGGGCAUGGGGAAUAUUUCCAUUUUCUAAGAUCUUCUCUGAUCUUUUUCUUGAGAGAUUUGAAGUUCAUAUUAGAAAGAUAUUUUACCUAUUUGAUUAGAGUUACCCCAAGAGAUUUUAUAUUAUCUGUGGCUAUUGUGAAGGGAGCUGUUUCCCUAAUUUCUUUCUCAGCCUGAUUUCAUUUGUAUGAUUUAUUUGAGUUAGUUUUACAUUUGACCACUUUGUUGAAUUUGUUUAUUUAUGAUAGAAUUUUUGGGGUCAUAUAUAUAAUUAUCUUGUCAUCUGCAAAUAGUGAUGCCUUUAUUUCUCCUUUGACAAUUUGUAUCCUCUUGAUCUCUAUUUGUGGUUUUAUUUUUCUAACUAGAACUUCAAGUAUUAUAUUGAAUAGAUAUGGAGAGAGUUGGCUUCUUUGUCUUGUCCCUGAUUUAGUAGGAGUGCUUUAAGUAUCUCUCCAUUUAAUUUGGUAUUGGCUGCUGGUUUGUAGUAAAUUGCUUUUCUUAUGUUUAGGUUACGUAAUUUUCUUAGGCUAGGGCCUCAAAUUCUUGAUCUCUCCAAUACUUUUAACAUGAAGUGAUGUUGUAUUCUGUCAAAUGUUUUUCUGCAUCUAAGGAGAUGAUAAUUUACUUUUUCUUUACAUUUGUUUAUAUGAUGGAAUAUGCUAAUGGAUUUUCAUAUAGUGAACCAACCUUCCAUCCCUGGGAUGAAGGCUACCUCUUCAUGGCGAAUGACAGUUUUGAUGUAUUCUUAGAUGGAGAAAUUCUCAAAUUCAUCUGCAAAAGCAAAACCACAGAAUAACUAAAACAAUUCUUAAAAAUAAAAGAAUGUCUGGGCAAAUUUACCAUGCCUAGCCUCAAGCUAUACAACAAAGCAAUAGUGAUAAAAACUGCAUUGUAUUCAUACAGAAUCAGACAGCUUGAUGAAUGGAAUAGAAUCAAAGACCCAGAAAUAAAACCAUAAACUUACCAGACUUGAUCUUUAACAAAGAAUCCAAAAAUAUACAGUGAAAAGAAGAAAGCAUCUUCAAUAAAGGCUGCUGGUCCAACUGGCCAACUGUAUGUAAAAAAUGAAAAUAGAUCCAUAUUUGUAACCACACACAAAGCUAGAGUGCAAGUGGAUCAAGAACCUCAAAAUAAAUCCAGAUACAGUGAAGAGAAAGUAUGAAGGAACACUGAACUCAUUGGCACAGGUGGAAAUGACCUAAACAGAACUCCAAUGGUUCAUGCUCUAAGAUUAAGAAUUUAUAAAUGGGACCUCGUGAAACUGGAAAUCUUAUGUAGGCAUAGCUCAGAGUCAAGAAAAAAAUUGGCAUCCUACAUAUUGGGAAAAACCUUCAACCCCACAUCUGAUAGAUGGCUAAGAUCCAAAAAUACAUAAAGAACUCAAGAAGCUAACCACCAUACCACAAAUAACACAAUCAAAAAAUGGGGUAUAGAACUAAACUCAGAAUUCACAACAGAGGGAUCUUGAAUGGGUGAUAAGCACCUAAAGAAAUGUUCAAAAUCCUUAGUGAUCCAAGAAAUGAAAAUUAAAUUGACCCUGAGAUUCCACCUUACACUAUUAAGAUUGGCUAAGGUCAGAACCUCAGAUGAGGAUACAUGGAUGUGGAGAUGGAGGAACACUCUUCCAGUGCUGGUAAUAUUUCAAAUUGGUACAACCACUCUGGAAAUCAAUAUGGUGGUUCUUCAAAAAAUUGGAAAUAAACCUUCCUAAAGACCCAGAAUUACCACUCUUAGGGAGAUACCCAAGAGAUGCUCCACCUUGCCACAGGGGCACAUGUUCCACUAUGUUCGUAGUGGCCUUAUCUGUGAUAGACACAAGCUGGAAACAACAAAAACAGAAGAAUGGAUACAGAAAAUGUCGUUCAUUUACACAGUGGAAUACUACUCAGCUAUUAAGAACAAGGACAUCCUGAGUUUUGCAGGCAAAUGGAUGGAAGUAGAAAAUAUUAUCCUGAGUGAACUAACUCAGAUCCAAAAGAACAUGCAUGGUAUGUUCUCACUAAUAAGUGGAUUUUAGCCAAAAAUGGUACAGAAUACCCACAAUACAGUCCACAGAACACAAAAAGGUAAAAAAAAACUGAAGGUCCCAAGUAAGGAUGGCUCAAACCCACUCUGGAGGUGAAGAGAAGAAAGCAAGCACAAAGUGGGAGGGAAGGACAGGUGAGGGAAAGGUAUUGAAGAUAGGGGAAGAGGGGAACAUGAUCUGUCAUUGGGUGGGGGGAAAUACUGAAGCCCUGGGAGCCAGCAGAAAGAAUGGAAACAGGCUACCUCAGGAGGAAUGAGGUUGGGAGGACACUCUAGAACAUACCAGAGACCUUUCAAGUGAGAGACUCGGGGAUCCAAAGGGGUGACCCUCGAUAAAAUGCCCUCCAGUGGUGAGAGGGAAUUUAUUAAACUCACCUCCAGCAGAAAGAUGGGGCAUCAAGUGAGAGAUGGGGUUGUUAUUCCACAGUCAAAGCUCUAACCCCAUAUUUCUUUCUGUCUGAAAGAGAUGCAAGAUGGAAAUGGAGAAGGGCCUGAGGAAAAGAAGGUCCAAUGACAGGCCCAAUGUAGGAUCCAACUCAAGCGGUGGACCCUAGAUCUGACACCAUUACUUAUUCUAUGGGGCAUUCAAAAAAAGGAAGCUAUCAUUACUGCCCACCAAAAUACCCAACAAGCACCUGAAAAAGUAAGUGCAGAUAAGAGCACCCAACCAAUGAACAGAAGCUUCUGACUCUGUGGUUGAAUUAGGGAAAAGAUGGAGGAAGCUGAGGAGCAGGGAAACAUUGUAGCAGGACCAGCAGUCUCAAUUAAUUAAUGAUUAGAGGUCUGUUGGGG